rnacentral:rRNA from 1 species
UGCCAGCCGCCGCGGUAAUACGGAGGGUGCAAGCGUUGUUCGGAAUUAUUGGGCGUAAAGCGCGUGUAGGCGGUUCGUUAAGUCUGAUGUGAAAGCCCGGGGCUCAACCCCGGAAGUGCAUUGGAAACUGGCGAACUUGAGUACGGGAGAGGAAAGUGGAAUUCCCAGUGUAGAGGUGAAAUUCGUAGAUAUUGGGAGGAACACCAGCGGCGAAGGCGGCUCUCUGGACCGAUACUGACGCUGAGGCGCGAAAGCGUGGGGAGCAAACAGGAUUAGAUA